rnacentral:rRNA from 1 species
GUACACGCUGUGACUAGCAUAUCAAUAAGCGGAGGAAAAGAAACUAACAAGGAUUCCCCUAGUAACAGGCGAGUGAAGCGGGAAGAGCUCAAAUUUGAAAUCUUAAAGGGUUUCCCUUUACGAAUUGUAGUUUAAAGAAGUGUUUUCUGUUGAGGUUUUGGUAAAAGUUCUUUGGAAUAGGACAUCAUAGAGGGUGAGAAUCCCGUAUUUGACCUUUACUAUUCAACUUUGUGAUACACUUUCAAAGAGUCGGAUUGUUUGGGAAUGCAGUCCAAAAUGGGUGGUAAGUUUCAUCUAAAGCUAAAUAUUGGCGAGAGACCGAUAGCGAACAAGUACCGUGAGGGAAAGAUGAAAAGAACUUUGAAAAGAGAGUUAAACAGUACGUGAAAUUGUCAAAAGGGAAGCGUUUGACACCAGUGUUGUUUUUCCUGAAAAUCAAUUAAAGAACUGUUUAUGCUAAGUUGUUUAGACUUUAUCAGCUAACUGUUUAGUUUUGAGCUUUUCUUUAAUGCACUUUUCAGUUAACAAGUCAACAUCAAUUUCUUUUGCUGUAAAAAAGCUUGAGGAAGGUGGCUUGAGAUUCGUCUUAAGUGUUUAUAGCCUCUUGCCUAUGCAGUCGGAGAGAUUGAGGUCUGCAGCGUAGAUCCUUCGGGGCUAAAUGCAUUUGUGCUAAGUUAUAGCAUUUUAUAGACAACUUGUUGACUAUGAUUUGUCUUGUAGCUUACUCGCUUAUGUUAUUUUACCUACGCUUAGGAUGUUGAGUCGUAGAGCACGCAG